rnacentral:rRNA from 1 species
CGAAGGGUGCAAGCGUUAAUCGGAAUUACUGGGCGUAAAGCGUGCGUAGGCGGUUCGUUAAGUCUGUCGUGAAAGCCCUGGGCUCAACCUGGGAAUGGCGAUGGAUACUGGCGAGCUAGAGUGUGAUAGAGGAUGGCGGAAUUCCCGGUGUAGCGGUGAAAUGCGUAGAGAUCGGGAGGAACAUCCGUGGCGAAGGCGGCCAUCUGGAUCAACACUGACGCUGAGGCACGAAAGCGUGGGGAGCAAACAGGAUUAGAUACCCUGGUAGUCCACGCCCUAAACGAUGCGAACUGGAUGUUGGGCUCAACUCGGAGCUCAGUGUCGAAGCUAACGCGUUAAGUUCGCCGCCUGGGGAGUACGGUCGCAAGACUG